UGGGGAAUAUUGCACAAUGGGCGCAAGCCUGAUGCAGCCAUGCCGCGUGUGUGAAGAAGGCCUUCGGGUUGUAAAGCACUUUCAGCGAGGAGGAAGGUGGUGAGCUUAAUACGCUCAUCAAUUGACGUUACUCGCAGAAGAAGCACCGGCUAACUCCGUGCCAGCAGCCGCGGUAAUACGGAGGGUGCAAGCGUUAAUCGGAAUUACUGGGCGUAAAGCGCACGCAGGCGGUUUGUUAAGUCAGAUGUGAAAUCCCCGGGCUCAACCUGGGAACUGCAUUUGAAACUGGCAAGCUAGAGUCUCGUAGAGGGGGGUAGAAUUCCAGGUGUAGCGGUGAAAUGCGUAGAGAUCUGGAGGAAUACCGGUGGCGAAGGCGGCCCCCCUGGACGAAGACUGACGCUCAGGUGCGAAAGGCGUGGGGCAGCAAACAGGAUUAGAUACCCUGGUAGUCCACGCUGCAAACGAUGUCGAUUUUGGAGGUUGUGCCCCUUGAGGCGUGGCUUCCGGAGCUAACGCGUUAAAUCGA
rnacentral:rRNA from 1 species